UACGUAGGUGGCAAGCGUUGUCCGGAAUUACUGGGUGUAAAGCGCGCGUAGGCGGUAGGCCAAGUCUGCUGUGAAAUCGCCCGGCUCAACUGGGCGCGGUCGGUGGAAACUGGUCAACUGGAGGACGGUAGAGGCGAGUGGAAUUCCCGGUGUAGUGGUGAAAUGCGCAGAUAUCAGGAAGAACACCAAUGGCGAAGGCAGCUCUCUGGGACGGUACUGACGCUGAGACGCGAAAGCGUGGGGAGCGAACAGG
rnacentral:rRNA from 1 species